ACACCUUCCUUUCCAAAAACGAAACUCAGAAAAACAAUAAAGGAAACCGCAUUAGCUAGCAACCUAAUUAAAUUAGAAGCUAACCUAUAGCUUACGACAAACACAGCUGAAUUAAUCAAUUAAUUUGCAGCAUUAUGAUGGGGCAUCCUCUCAUGCACGCGUCGGCCAUCGAUACGAUGAAGGUUUUGAUAUGUUUAUCAUGGCACAUUAACAAAUGAGGACGAGGUAGACGAAAGCUAAAAAAGGGAUUAAUUGAUUGAUCCUGGAAGACCCUGCCUGCAUCGUGCAGCCUCCAAACGCGCCCUGUACUUGUUUAACUAUAUAUUUUUUUUAUUUUAUGUCCUCUCUUGGAAUACUUUCUUAAGGAAGAAGUUGUAGUGCAUCAGGGCUAGCUACCUAGCUAGCUAACCAGCCUUGAUUAGAGAAAUAGAGCUACCUGUAAAGAGCACUCUAAGGAGAUUAGCACAAGAUUAGAGAUAGAUAGAGAGCUUGGCUUGAAAGAUAGCCGAGGUUGUUGCUGCUGCUAAUUGUUAUUUCUGCGUAGAUCUGUAAGAGGGAAAAGGAGGAGGAGAUCGAAGGGGAAGAUGGGGAGAGGGAAGAUAGAGAUAAAGAGGAUCGACAACGCGACGAGCCGACAGGUGACAUUCUCGAAGCGGCGGAGCGGGCUGUUCAAGAAGGCGAGGGAGCUCUCCAUCCUCUGCGAUGCCGAGGUCGGCCUCCUCGUCUUCUCCAGCACCAGCCGUCUCUAUGACUUUGCCAGCUCCAGCAUGAAAUCCAUAAUUGAGAGAUACAAUGAGACGAAAGAAGAUCCCCAUCAAACCAUGAACGCAAGUUCUGAGGCAAAGCUUUGGCAACAGGAGGCAGCAAGCUUGAGGCAGCAACUGCAUAACUUGCAAGAAUAUCAUCGACAGUUGUUGGGACAACAGCUUUCUGGUCUGGAUGUAGAAGACUUGCAAAAUUUGGAAAGUAAGCUGGAGAUGAGCUUAAAAAAUAUCCGUCUGAGGAAGGACAAUGUCAUGAUGGAUCAAAUUCAAGAAUUAAGCAGGAAGGGAAGCCUCAUACAUCAGGAAAACAUGGAACUACACAAGAAAGUCAGCCUUGUCCAUCAAGAAAACAUCAAUUUACAGAAAAAGGUUGAGGCAUGCAGAAACAUUUUGCCAAACAAUGAUGCAGAUUCUACAAGUGAUAUUUUCUCAAUUCACUUUUCUGGUGUAUGCAAAUUACAAAAUGUCAUUUUUUUUAUUUAUUUUAGCAGGUAUAUAAGACAAAGAGUAAUGGGCAUCCAACAGGUUCUACCAUCCAGCACAGCUUUCUGAUUACAGAUAAUGAAAUUGGCCCUAAUCUUGAGCUAAGUCUGCCAGAGAAUGUAGAAAAGGAGUAGUCAGGAACACCAAAUCCAGGCAGACUUCAGCCCAAGUGAGGAUGGCAAACGCUAAGAUUAAGUGACUAAUGGCAUAUUUUCUUUGGUGUCACUAUAAAACCUCGAAGCUAAACUUCAAAGCAUUACCCAUGCAAUAUUUUCUGCAUGAACAAUUUAUCAGUUUAGUUCAGUUUUUUGUUCAAGUUGCUGGGAACCCAUUCAACCAGAACAGAGUUUAUGUCAUGUAUUCUGCUGUUCUGAAGACUAUGUAGUUCUUGUGGUUCAAAAUAAUGCAGGGCAGAGAGUGCACAGCACUUAUUUGUAUCGCGCCAAACAUAGGCACUUGAUCUUGUAUUGAUUUGAACUUGGUAGAUGCAUGUGGUUACUUUUGAAAUGCAAUGAAGCUGCUUGGAAUAUAAGGAAA